rfam:Mesocricetus auratus contig046166, whole genome shotgun sequence.
GUUGAGAACCUCCAACGUAAGGGAUGCAUUAGACUGCUGAUGUGGGAGAUGCAAAUGGUAGCCUGGGC